CUUUGGCGCGACGAGGCUAGGUGUGGCGGGGCAAGGCAAGGCGAACCGACCCGAUGCGUCUCUGUCUGCGUCCAAUGAAAGCUAUUUCCUGCUAGUGUUGCCAACGUGACCGCGCAAACACGUUUCACGAGCUAGUCGAGUGCGACAGUUUAUGCAUCGCCACGCCUCGACGUGUACCACUCGCGUUUUUAGUGCUUUGUACGGGUUAAUUGUUGACGAAAAACCUUGCGGGCAACGUUCUCCUAAACGAGACGUUUUUUAUUUGUAAUAUUCGAUGAUAUUGUAAAUCCAGCUAUCGUAUCGUAAAUUCAUUUCGAGUGCAAAUCAAGCUGCGCAGUCUCGCGAAAUUGAUCACGUUUCGAGAUCACGGGAAGUAUAAGUAUCUCUGGAAAGGCGAAAUUGCGAAAUUCGAGAAGCAAACGUGGCCAAAGGCCGGUUUUGCCGGAUUGGAAAACGAUAGCGCUGUUAUGUGCGAACCUUCGCGCCUUAUAAGAAAGAAAUGAUGGACAAUGAAGACAAGAUAGGAAAAAAAUAAAAGAAAUAAAGAAGACGAUGCUAAUUCUCUUUGUGUAUGGGAAAACCGAGCGGGGUCCGUUGAACAAACUAGGAGGCAACCCGCCAGACUUUCGAAUAAGCUAUUCAACCAGUGCAAUAUACCGUGCAAAUAUAGCGCAUCCCGUCUAGACGACGUUGCUUUUCCAUCUGAACGAGAAGUUACCUCCUUAUUUCGUGAUUUUUCCAUGGAAAACUUGGCGAAGAAAUAGGAGAAGCAAUAGCAAAACAGUUGAAGUCGAAUCGAUUCGAGAUCAUCGAUCUUGCCCAAUCGUUUUCGCUCGUUAAACAACGAUAGUG